CAAGCGGUGGAGCAUGUGGUUUAAUUCGAUGCAACGCGAAGAACCUUACCUACUCUUGACAUCCAGAGAACUGAGCAGAGAUGUUCGGGUGCCUUCGGGAACUCUGAGACAGGUGCUGCAUGGCUGUCGUCAGCUCGUGUUGUGAAAUGUUGGGUUAAGUCCCGCAACGAGCGCAACCCUUAUCCUUUGUUGCCAGCGAUUCGGUCGGGAACUCAAAGGAGACUGCCGGUGAUAAACCGGAGGAAGGUGGGGAUGACGUCAAGUCAUCAUGGCCCUUACGAGUAGGGCUACACACGUGCUACAAUGGCGCAUACAAAGAGAAGCGACCUCGCGAGAGCAAGCGGACCUCAUAAAGUGCGUCGUAGUCCGGAUUGGAGUCUGCAACUCGACUCCAUGAAGUCGGAAUCGCUAGUAAUCGUGAAUCAGAAUGUCACGGUGAAUACGUUCCCGGGCCUUGUACACACC
rnacentral:rRNA from 1 species